rnacentral:tRNA from 1 species
GGUGGCUCAGUGGUAGAGUGCUUGCCUUACAGGUAUGAAGCCCUGGGUUCGAUUCCUCAGCACCA